rnacentral:rRNA from 1 species
CAGCCGCCGCGGUAAAACGGAGGGUGCAAGCGUUAAUCGGAAUUACUGGGCGUAAAGCGCACGCAGGCGGUUUGUUAAGUCAGAUGUGAAAUCCCCGAGCUUAACUUGGGAACUGCAUUUGAAACUGGCAAGCUAGAGUCUUGUAGAGGGGGGUAGAAUUCCAGGUGUAGCGGUGAAAUGCGUAGAGAUCUGGAGGAAUACCGGUGGCGAAGGCGGCCCCCUGGACAAAGACUGACGCUCAGGUGCGAAAGCGUGGGGAGCAAACAGGAUUAGAUACCCCUGUAGUCCCUGUCUCUUAUAC